GCCCCAACAGCUAGCUCAACCAGACAAAACAACAACCCACAUCAAUAACCCCGAAAGAAUCAACCCCUUUAAGCUAAACCAUUUUUCCCUUCUAGUACGGGAGACGGAACGGAGACCCGACGCUAUAGAGACAGUACCGCAAGGGAACGCUGAAAGAGAACUGAAACAACCCAGUAAAGGCUAAAAAAGCAGAGCUCACCCCUCGUACCUUUUGCAUCAUGACUUAGCAAGCACCCCCAAGCGAAGAGCCCUUAAUGUUUGAGCCCCCGAAACUGAGCGAGCUACUCCGAGACAGCUUACCUAGAGCGAACCCGUCUCUGUGGCAAAAGAGUGGGAAGAACUCCGAGUAGAGGUGAUAGACCUACCGAGCCCAGUUAUAGCUGGUUGCCUGGGAAAUGAAUAGAAGUUCAACCUUUUGACCUCCUCCCUCCCAACACGAGGAACCUCCCACCCCGGCCCAGAGGAUAUCAACAGAGCUAUUCAAAAGAGGGACAGCUCUUUUGAACCAAGACACAACUUUUUUAGCAGGGUAAAGACUAAAAGAGACAAGGAUUAUGCCCUAGUGGGCCUAAAAGCAGCCACCUUAAUAGAAAGCGUUAAAGCUCAAGCAUAAAAACCCAACAAUCUCAGCCACUUUUUCUUAUCCCCCUUUCAAUACCGGGCUCUCCCAUGCCUUCAUGGAAGAAAAACUGCUAACACGAGUAACAAGGGAGCUUACCCCUCCCUCCCUGCCACUGUGUAGUCAGAACAGACCCUGCCUGAAAAUUAACGCCCCCAUAAAAGAGGGAACUAGGACAUCUCCUGCCAAGCCAGAUGCCCCCCUAAAACUAAGCGUUAACCCCACACUGGUUGGCCAAAGGAAAGACACAAGGGAGAAGAAGGAACUCGGCAAACACCAGCCUCGCCUGUUUACCAAAAACAUCGCCUCUUGCAAGCCCAGUAUAAGAGGUCCCGCCUGCCCUGUGACACAAGUUUAACGGCCGCGGUAUUUUGACCGUGCAAAGGUAGCGUAAUCACUUGUCUUUUAAAUGAAGACCUGUAUGAAUGGCAUAACGAGGGCUGAGCUGUCUCCUUCCCCCAGUCAGUGAAAUUGAUCUGCCCGUGCAGAAGCGGGCAUAAGCGCAUUAGACGAGAAGACCCUAUGGAGCUUAAGGCGCCCGAGCAGCCUAGGUCCCUGCCCCUGUAAAUAAGGGAAAAACCAACUAACCCCUGCUCAACUGCCUUUGGUUGGGGCGACCCCGGGGAAAUAACUAGCCCCCGAGCGGAAGGGGGGUCUCCCCCCUUAGGCCAGAGCCACAGCUCUCGCACCCAGAACUUCUGACCACUCAGAUCCGGCAAGCCGAUCAACGGACCCAGUUACCCUAGGGAUAACAGCGCAAUCCUCUUUUAGAGCCCAUAUCGACAAGGGGGUUUACGACCUCGAUGUUGGAUCAGGACAUCCUAUUGGUGCAGCCGCCAUUAAGGGUUC
rnacentral:rRNA from 1 species